CAGAUGAAGGGUUCUGCUGUGUUUCAAUCAACUCAUACCAAAAGAGAGAAGGCAAUGAGCCUUGCAACUGGAAAUUACAGGUGGAAGCAGAGGCCCCCAGAACAGUGGAGGCCGGAGGGCCCUGGCCCCCCUCGGGACAAGGGCCGUCACCUGAAGUGUGUCAGACGUACCCACGCCUUAGGGCCCCCCCGGCAAAAUAUAUAAGUCAGCGCCUAUGGGUGGAAGAGAGGAGUCUAGUCUGAGUCUCUAAACCUCCAUUCUCCUUGUUCCCACCGAAGACAUGAGCUCUGAGCUCAGCCAUGCAACAGGGGGAGAGAAUCGCCAUGCUUUUCUUUCAGCUAUAGACUAUAUCUCCUGCUGGGAUCCCUCUAGACAAGAAGGCAGUUGAAAGGAUUACCCCCAAACCAUUUUUAAGACAUCUAAUCCUUGCAGGGAGAGCAGGUGCCCUCACUUAGCACGUAGUGCAGUUGCUAGCUCUCUGGACUUCCUGCCCUCCGAAAAAAGCAUUUGGAAAUCACCUAGGAGGACAAAGGGUGUGACUUUUUCAAAUGCAGCUUAUUUUAUCUGGAAAAGAGGAGCAGCUGUCAGAAAAGCCAAGUUGUGGGGGCUGCUGAUUUGCUAAGGAAGAGAGUUGCAUGGAAAAGUCUCCCACAAGAAAAAGCAUUAUCAGCUUGAAAAUCUUCCUCUAAAAGAAACCGCACCAUGACAACACAAACGACGGCUAAGAAAAAAUAAUCAGUUCGUUGAUGGCGCACACAUGUAUCUGGGUUCGCUUCUGUUUUAAGCGCGGGUGAUCAGUAGUUGGGGAUGGCUGCACAUGCCGUGGACCACUUUCGUGUUAAUAACUGCUGAUAAAAUGGUUUUCAUUCAUAUAAGUUUUUAGUAAAUUUAGUACUAAUGAAACUUAUGAAUGCGUUUUCUUCAAGUUUUUCCGUACUGGCCUAGGUAACUUUCAUUAUCAGCAGGUAAAGCUAGUUCUCUCCCACCCAUAAUGAGGGUUUUCCAGUAUCCUAUAGGUCUUCCCUUAAUGACGCUGGCAUAAACUAACUGCAAGACUCAGCUGAAAAACUCUCCUCGGGCAGUAAGUCUCGGCCGGGGCAUACUUCAAGGAGCAGGACUGGGCUUUGUGAGAUUUGGGCUUUCCCAUCUGCUUUGUUGAUCAUAGGUUCAUAGUUGUUAGGGGCUGGAAGGGACCUUGCAGAUCAUCGGGUCUAGCUCUAGGCAGGAUCAAGUUGCUUGAUCUCCUUGGGCCUCAACUCCGCAGCAGACGCAUCCUUCUUCCCAUCCUCUAUCCAUUUCAUCUGAAUUUCAAGCUCUUGCAGGCCUAUAUCUUUACUUAUCCAGCGGCAGCGUUUUGAUUUCAGCUGGGACCUUUGGACGCUGUUGUGAUACAAGGAAGUAAUAACAGGUUAAGAACUUACUUUCUUUCCCCUA